AGCAGCCGCGGUAAUUCCAGCUCCAAUAGCGUAUAUUAAAGUUGUUGCAGUUAAAAAGCUCGUAGUUGAAUUUCGGGAUCAAUGCGUCGGUCGUGCCUUCGGUACGUACUAGCGUCAUUGAUUCCUCCCUUCUGAAGAACCGUGAUGUCAUUAAUUUGGUGUUACGGGGAAUCAUGACUGUUACCUUGAAAAAUUAGAGUGUUUAAAGCAGGCUAACGCUUGAAUACAUUAGCAUGGAAUAAUGAAAUAGGACGUUCGAACCUAUUUUGUUGGUUUCUAGGAUCGACGUAAUGAUUAAUAGGGAUAGUUGGGGGCAUUAGUAUUCAAUUGUCAGAGGUGAAAUUCUUGGAUUUAUUGAAGACUGACUACUGCGAAAGCAUUUGCCAAGGAUGUUUUCAUUAAUCAAGAACGAAAGUUAGGGGAUCGAAGACGAUCAGAUACCGUCGUAGUCUUAACCAUAAACUAUGCCGACUAGGGAUCGGAUGAUGUUAAUUUAUAAUGA
rnacentral:misc_RNA from 1 species